ensembl:snoRNA
UGCUCGCCCGAGCUGAGUAGAGUGGCAUCAGGUUGGCGGUGCCCAUCGCCUAUCAGCAAGGGACAAAGCAAUCCCUUGUUUGUCCCAGCUUGACUUUUGGUCUGUGCCCACAUCUGGUCCAUGCCUUGGAAACACUG